AGCGAACGCUGGCGGCAGGCUUAACACAUGCAAGUCGGACGGAUCCUUCGGGAUUAGUGGCGGACGGGUGAGUAACACGUGGGAACGUGCCUUUUGGUUCGGAACAACACAGGGAAACUUGUGCUAAUACCGGAUGUGCCCUUCGGGGAAAGGAUUUAUCGCCAUUAGAGCGGCCCGCGUCUGAUUAGCUAGUUGGUGAGGUAAAGGCUCACCAAGGCUACGAUCAGUAGCUGGCUGAGAGGAUGAUCAGCCACACUGGGACUGAGACACGGCCCAGACUCCUACGGGAGGCAGCAGUGGGGAAGUCUUGCGCAAUGGGGGAAACCCGUGACGCAGCCA
rnacentral:rRNA from 1 species